AUAACACACUUCCUCAUACAACAAAAAGAAGAAGAAAAUUAAAAGAUCGAAAUGGUUCUUACAAAACUCAACAAAGUGACUUUUGUCGCUCUCCUUGUCUGCUUCAUCCUCAUUGCAUCAUAUGAAACACAAAUGGUUGAAGCAAAGAAUUGAAUGAAACACAAAAGUUGGGGCGGCAGCUGCCCUCCGAUGAGGUGCAAAAAUUGGUGCCAAGGCAAGGGGGGCCACAAGUGGUAUUGUCAGAAUCACCAGUGCUACUGCCUAUAUAAGUGUGGUAGUUAAAUGGAAAUAUAUAUUUAUCCUGCACUAUUUUCAUACCAUCAAAAUAGUGCAUCAUAUUGUAAAUCUUAUUCUAUCAUGUAAUAAAAAUAAAUAAAUGUUGCUAUACAUACAAAUGACUUGAGUCAUUUUGUCACAGAGCAACAAUUGUAUGUUGUAAUAUGUACACAUGACACUAGUUGUGUGUAUUUUAACGUAUUGUAUGAUAAAUACUAUCAUUACUAUAUGUAUAAUGUGCCGUAUUUGAGUUUUUAA